CAAGCUUCAGGAUUUAUGAUUUCUCAUAUUGUGUUGUAUGUGUUCUUGUCAGCAUAAUAUUUGGCAUGCAAGUCACUCACUCGCUCCUAUAUUAAACUGAUUUUUGUUCUGCAAAAGUGGUAAAGAAGCUUUCUUUGCCCACAUUAAAGAUCUUCUCAGUAUGCUUUACUUCUGAGUUAGGUCUAACCCCA
rnacentral:snRNA from 1 species